UCCGGAAAUGUUUACACGAAGUUCGUUAUAAAAAGCGGCGAGUUCUGGUAUACGAAAUCAUCUCUUUUUUCAGAAGUCAACAAAAUGAAUAAGUCAGCGCUUCUCCUCUUGCUUGUCAUCGGACUCCUUGUCCUAACCGAAACUACAAAUGCUGCCGGGAAAUGGAGAGCAUAUAUGCAGAACCAAAUGGAAGAUAUCGCCCAAGAUCAUUUGAUAGAAAUGCUUCGGGAUCAUUUGGAUUCUGAGCAAGCCAAACUGGAUUAAUAAAUCAUCGAACAUAAAUGCCGACUUUUGGUUGUUAAUAUAUAAAUAAACACUCUGCAU